GAAAGUAUGGUCACUACUUUUAUUUAUUGCUUAUGGACAGUCCUUUGCAGUGACUUCAUUUUUUUUAAACUUUCUAGAUCCAGUCUGUUGGCAUUUAAAUACAGGCCAGUCUCCCUAUUUUACAGACAGACGUCUCCUCGGGUUCCACGUUCUCCCCAUUUGCUCCAGGUCGUCACUACUCACAGGUCUCCUUUUCAGUCUCCUCUUCAGUCUACACUCCAAGCUGACUCCUCCUAAUCACCCCGGACUUGCCUUUCUCUAAGACAGGGUCUUGCUAUGUAGUUCAUGCUGGCCUUGAACUCUCAGCAAUUCUCUGCCCUCAGCCUGGAAAGUGCUGGGAUCACAGGUAUGCACCACCACACCCUGCCAGAGAAGUAGCUUUUGCAGGUCCCACUGGAAUUCUUCAAUCCUAGGUACCCAGAUGCGGUCUGUAAGGGGGAGGGUGCUACAGGCUCUGGGAGGGCCAGAGCAGGGCCUUCUAAAACACUAGACUCUCCUGUAUUCUAUGGAUAGCUGACAAGAAAAUGUUGGAAAAACUUAGACACAUUAGGAUGGCUAAAACAAAUGGUAAAACAAGUAAGUUUUGGCAAGAAGGUGGAGAAUGUGGAACCUUUGUGCACAGUUGGUGGAAAUGUAAAGCAAUGCAGCUGCUAUGGAAAACAACAUGCUGAUUCCUCAAAAAACUUAAAAUAGAAUUAUUAUAUGAUCUAGCUAGAUCUAGCUAGAGACCUAGCAAUCUCUGUUCUGUGUAUAUAUCCAAAAAAGUUUUAAAGUAGGAUCUCAGGGAGAUAUUUGUACAGUUGUGUUCAUAAUAGUAUUUAUUAUUCACUGGGUGUAGAGGUGCACUCUUAUAAUCCCAGCACUUGGGAGGCUGAGGCAGGAGGAUUGCUGCAAAUUUGAGGCCAGUCUGGGCUACACAGUGAGUGCAAGGCCAGCCUGGACUACAUAGUGAGAACUUGUCUCAAAAAAAAAGUAUUAUUCAUGAGAACCUAAAGGUAGACGCAACCAAGUGUUCAUCAGUAGAUGAAUCAAUAAAAUGCGGUAUGCAUGUGUAAUAGAAUAUUAUUCAUCAUUUAAGAAAAAAUUCUGACAUAUAGUUGGACCUUGAGGACACUAUGCUAAGUGAAAUAAGCCAGUUACAAAAAACUACUGUGUUAUCCCACUUAUCUGAGGUGCUUAGAACAGUCAAGUUCAUAGUAAAAAGAAUGGUUGCUAUAGACCCUGGAAGGAGAGGGCAAGGGGUAGCUGCUCUUUAAUUGGUAUAAAGUUUCAGUUUUCAAGGUGAAAAGAGUUCUGGAGAGGGCUUGUGGUGAGGGUUGCACAAUGUACUUAACACCACUGAACUAUGCCCUUAAAAAUUGUUAAGGAGGUAAAUUUUGUCAGGUGCAUCUUAUCAUGAUUUUAAAAAUAUUCAAAGAAGUAAAAUUUAAAUCAAGGGUUAAAAGAAAAUGCAAAUUGUGUAUUAACCUAAAACCCCCUUUCUUUUCUUUUUUUUUAAAUACCGGGGGAUUGAACUUGGGACCUUGUGCUUGUGAGGCAGGCAGCAGAACCACUGAGCUAAAUCCCCGGCAAGACCCCCUUUCUUCUUAAAAAUGCAACAAAUGACAGUGAAUUUAUCUUCAUUGUACCUGUCAGCUUUCCCCCUGAAGCCAGAAAUGAAGGGCAAAGAUCAGAAGUUUCUCAGCAUCUCUUCCCGAGCAGCAGUUUCCUGUCCUUGAUGACCCCAUCUGCAACGGCUGAUUGGACAUGGACCUUGGCUAGUCUUAAAUCUGUUUUGCAGAACCUUUGUACAUUCCUGUAGACGGAAACUGUAGGAACAGAUGGAGGAGUUGGCUAUAGGAACAUGCUUAUUAUCACUGAAAAUGCUCCUGCUCUUUUCAACUUGGUUCUCCAAGCAUGGCAGGCAGUGGGUUGAGCCAAAAUGAAGAUCCUAGUGACUCACAAGCUCUCAGAGAAGAAAUCCACAUAUGGCAGCCACAAAGGGCACAUUCCCCGCAGUGUGACCAUCACACUGCACACCACCUCCUUUUAGUUAGGUGUGGGGAUACCGUGUUGCUAAGCACCAGGUAAGACACGGGUUUCAAAUUUCUGCUUCUGUUUGCCACGUGCCCAAAUGGCAUCAGGCUGGCACGCAGGAUUCUGUGGUUGUGUGGCAGAUGGUGAGGCGAAGCAUGGGGGAGCAACUGGUGUUUUGCGUCUGUGGAAACUUUCCAUUGCUCAUGGAUCAGGUGAUGCAUCAAACUGCACGUCCUAGCAUUACUUGUAUAUUGUGAAUAUAUAACUGCAUAUACUAUUAUUAUCCAUAAUGAGUAACAAUCACACACUACAAAGUUUUAGCAGUGUGGGCCAGCUGACACUGUGGCUGGCAGCUGAGGGGACAAAAAGGACCAGCUCUGGCUGGGGCACAGUGGACAGUCCACCCCCGAGUGGUGUAGGGGCACAGUAUGACUCUGGGGUGUUGAGCUAGGGAAGACUGGGGCUAAUUGGAAAAGCCAUACUGAUGCCUCAUCUCUCUCACAAUUGCUUCUUUAUCUAGCACUGCAUCUUCACCUUAUGCCAAUGGCAGUUGAACGUUUUUGUCCUUUUUCUAGCCAGGAAAUAGGCCUGUGGUCAGAUGCAGAGUCAGAGCUCUGAAAUACACUUAAACAGCUAUGUCAGUGACGGAUUCAGCAUCUUAACAUAGCAGCAUUUCUUGUCUUACAAUUUCUGUGGGUCUGGAGAUGAAACACAGCUUGGCUGAGUCCAAGGCACAGGGUCUCCCAUGGACUGAAGUCCAGGAGUCAGCCCGGGCUGGUGUCUUCCCAAGGCUUGGCUGGGGGACGACGGGCUUUCAAGUUCACCCAUGAGACUGAGGCAGCAGUCAGCUCCUUUUAGUCCUCCCAGGCUGUCAGCCUUUGUGUGCACAGCUCGACACAGGCAAACUCAUGUCUUCCAAGCAAGCAGGCAGAUGAGCAAAACAGAAAGCAGAGUCAUUCAUAGCCUGGAUGUCAGGGGUGACCUCCCACUGGCGUGGUUAACUGUUCCUCAGAAGCGAGCCACUAGGCCUAGACGAUACUUGCUACAGCGUGGAUCUAGAAUGUUCCCAAGGCCUAUGCGUUGAAGGCUUAGUCCCCAGAUUGGUGUUGGCAUCUUUCAGGGGUGGGGCUUAGUGGGGGCCACUGGGACUGUGCCCUGGAACGAGACUGCAGGACCCCAGCCUCGUCUCCCUUCUCCUUUGUUCCCUGGCCAUGAAGUGAGCAGUCUUGUUUCACCGUGCACUCCACCAUGAUUCCCACAUCAUGAGCCUAGAAGCAAUGGGGCUUCUUUUGGUCCUCGGACCAACCACUGACUGAACCUCUGAAACAAUGAGCCAGAAUAACCCUUUUCUCUUUAUUAGGUGGUUAUCUCAGGUGUUUGUUACAGAGACAGAAAGCUAACACAGUGAGAGGUGUGGAUUGCACAAGGGCAUGAAUCAGGAGGAGGGGUAAGUGGAAGCCAUCUUAGAAACUUCUCAGAUAAUAACUAUGCUUUUUGACAACACUGGGUUGCAGUGCUCUUUCAUAUAGAACACAAAUGCAUGUUGCUCAGCCACAGAGUCUUAAAAUGAUGACAUUGGCAUAAGUCAUUUUUUCUGGGUGUGGUGGCACACACCUGUAAUCUCAGCACUCAGGAGGCUGAGUGCUGAGGAUUGCCACAAGUCUGAGGCCAGCCUGGGUUACACAGUCAGUUGAAGGCCAGCCUGAACUACAUAGCAAGACUCUGUCUCAUCAUUUCCCCCAAAAAAAGAAGAAAAAAAGAAAUAAGCCAUUUUUAUAACAAGCUACCCUGUGAUGCUAUUAUAGAGUAUAUUUUUUUUUUCAGUGCUCCAAUCUUCCUGACCCAAAAUUCAGCCAUCUUUCAUCUGAGUUUCACUAGAGGAGUCAAAUAAAUGCUCUUGGUUACCAUUAGAGUCAUAAAGUGGCACAGCUGAAAAAGAAUUUCCAUGUUCACCUAACCCGACUCUUUCAUUUCACAGUAUGGGAACAGGCAGAGAGGGGAAGUAAUUUGCUCAUGAAAACACUGCUCAUUAUUAGCAUCACUGGGUCUCUGUUAGGUCUUGGAGAAAUUAAUAUCAGGUUUUAGGGCACAGCUAAGUACACCACCUCCCCUGACAGGCCCGAGGCAUGCAUGCGGAUUAAGAAAACUAGGAUGAAAAAUUAGGCAAGAGGAAAAAAAAGUGGAGAAGGAAAAGAAGAGAUAGAAUUCUGAGAAACUGCAAAAGAAGAGAAAGGCAAAAACAUAUUCAUUCAUCGCAGGUACCACUGGGGGGCUCCAUGGCCUUCUGAUUCGCAGUUUUCAUGCAGUGUCAUUCUGAUGCAUCCAUCAACACAAGAGAACUUUAGUGCGCCGUGAUUGGCAGGUGGUGUAGCAGUGUGGUUAAGACGGUGGGCCUGUAGACUCCUAGUACCCAGGAUUGGGUCCCGUCUCUGCGGCUGGCUGUGUGAUCUCUGCCAGUUACUUUUUUACCUCUCUUGCCUCGUUCCCUGAAAGGGGAGGACAACAGUACAUACUGCAUGGAAUGGCAAACGUGAAGUGCUCACAACAGCCCCAGGCUUAGGGAAAAUUCCUUGUUAUCAAGUGAUGAGGACAACAGACUUACCUCAUUCCCAGCCCUCAUGUGGGUUAGGACGGACUGAAGCUCAGAAUAGGAGGUGGGGGCGUAAGGUGGGGAGGUGAGUUGGGCAUCUCACUGGCGAUGCAGCCAAUUGGAAAUGCCGUGUGCAUCACCAAGCAAAUCAAAUAGAACGCAUUAGAAAGUCCUUUGCCCACUCAGGCAUCCUUCUAAUCCUUUUUCAGAUCAUUCUUCCAGCCCCUCCUCCAUGCUCCCUUCAUUUCGCUUCUCCUGCAGCAGCUGUUUGAUUCUCCCUGCCACUAGCUCAUCCUCUGGGGAGACUAAUCCCCAGCAAUGUAAGGGCUGCAAUGCAGUUGAAACCAUACACUGGAAAUUAAAGCUGGAAAUUUAAAAUAAUUUUGUGUUCUUACAAACAUCAUAGAGCAUCACACAUCUUUAAUUUUAAUUCCAUGCUGUUAAUGUGGUUUCCAUUCCCUCUGAAGAAUUUUCCUCUCUGGCUUCUUUUUUUGUUUUAAUUCAAGUAUGUAUUUCUUUGAUUGCCAUUCAAACUGGAAUUUGCCAGGCACUUAUUAAUGUCCUAG
ensembl:lncRNA